rnacentral:rRNA from 1 species
AUAGAACGCUGGCGGCAUGCUUUACACAUGCAAGUCGAACGGUAACAGGUUAAGCUGAUGAGUGGCGAACGGGUGAGUAAUGCAUCGGAACGUGCCCGGUCGCGGGGGAUAACGACGCGACAGCUUUGCUAAUACCGCCUAAGAUCUACGGAUGAACGCAGCGGACCGCGAGGCCUUGCGCGAACGGAGCGGCGGAUGGCAGAUUAGGUAGUUGGUGGGAUAAAAGCUUACCAAGCGGACGAUAUGUAGCUGGUCUGAGAGGACGACCCGCCACACUGGGAUGGAGAGACGGCCCAGACUCCCACGGGAGGCAGCGGUGGGGAAUUUUGGACAAUGGGCGAAAGCCUGAUCCAGCCAUGCCGCGUGCAGGAUGAAGGCCUUCGGGUUGUAAACUGCUUUUGUACGGAACGAAAAGACUCUUUCUAAGAAAGAGGGUCCAUGACGGUACCGUAAGAAUAAGCACCGGCUAACUACGUGCCAGCCGCCGCGGUAAUAC